UACUUGCAACCCUUUGUGGUAAAGAUGCAAAAUUGUUAAUGUUCAAUUGUAUGAAACGAUGCCUGACAUCAGAGAUAGGAAUGAAGUUUUCAUAUACAGGAAGGCCUCCAAAAGACAAGACGAAAGAAAGGAAAAGAGCUUUCUGUUCAACCAUGCUUUGUGCAGCAAUUCAAAGACCAUUAUACCGGCAGAAGCCAGUGAUUUUUGAUCCUGCUUUGGUCUGUGUGCUGGGGCCGGAGGGGCUUCCGAAUAAUUAAAUUUUAAACAGUUUGAAAAUAAAAAAUUUUAAAGAUA